rnacentral:rRNA from 1 species
UACGUAGGGUGCAAGCGUUGUCCGGAAUUAUUGGGCGUAAAGAGCUCGUAGGCGGUCUGUCGCGUCUGCUGUGAAAACUCAGGGCUUAACCCUGAGCUUGCAGUGGGUACGGGCAGACUAGAGUGCGGUAGGGGAGACUGGAAUUCCUGGUGUAGCGGUGAAAUGCGCAGAUAUCAGGAGGAACACCGGUGGCGAAGGCGGGUCUCUGGGCCGUAACUGACGCUGAGGAGCGAAAGCAUGGGGAGCAAACGGG